GACGAACCGGACAAACGUUAUUCGGAAUUACUGGGCUUAAAGGGUUUGUAGGCGGCCUUGUAAGUCAGGUGUGAAAUCCCUCGGCUCAACCGAGGAAUGGCGCUUGAUACUGCACGGGCUUGAGGGAGGACAGGGGUAAGCGGAACUGAUGGUGGAGCGGUGAAAUGCGUUGAUAUCAUCAGGAACACCGGUGGCGAAAGCGGCUUACUGGGUCUCAUCUGACGCUGAGGAACGAAAGCUAGGGGAGCGAACGGG
rnacentral:rRNA from 1 species